rnacentral:lncRNA from 1 species
CAUUUGUAUUAUCGGAAGAUGAACGUAUAUUUAAUUAGAUUUUAAAUUGCCACAUAAAAUGAAAACUAUUGGAAAUACAAACUCUCUAGAGACGUAUAAAUCUACGUGUGCUAGAGCGUGAUAUAUGUUAAUUACAUAAAUUUGGUUAGCCCAUGCACAUAACUAUGUCUAAUAUAAUUAACUUAAUGUAACCACAAUUGUGAUACCCAUAUUUAAACCACAACAAUGGGGAAAACAUCAAAAGACAAGUAUGACAUAUAUUAGGAAUGCUAAGGAAGAAGGAUGGUAUGCAUGAAGUGCUUUUAAAUUACUCCAAAUUGAUCAGGAAUGUCGGAUCUUUAAUGGUGUAUCCAAAACAAUAGAUUUAUGCGCUGCACCUGGAAGCUGGAGUCAGGUCUUAGCUCUUAAGCUGAAUACAAAGGAGAGAAGUACAAGUACCACGAGCCAGUGCAGACUCCUAUAGUGCCAUUCUAUGAGGAAGCGUUAUCUUUAUCGAGAAGCAGAGACUUUCAUAUGGCUGAUGUUAAUGUGAUAAUCGAGAACGAAAAUAUGAAUAAAAUUUCUCUCUUUGAAAAGACAGUCCUACAACAGAGUCAAACCAAGAUGAAUGUAGAGGCGAAAACAGCGCAACAGGAUCAAGAUGAGAAUGAAGCGCCUAUCGAUAUGUUACAAAAUUUAUAUGUCUGAU